rnacentral:sRNA from 1 species
GGGGUUCUUAGAACUUUUUGUGGUGUGUGUUGGCCUAGAGCGACUCAGAAGCGUUAGUCACUUCACCUAAAAAAGCUAACCUCUGCUGAGCGCGACCGGUGUGCGGCGCAGGAUGAGCCUCAGGGCUUCUGUUAAGAGUCCGUCUGAGAAAGCCGGUCUGCGCUGUUCCUCGGUGGCGACCUUAAUUAUGAGAUGAGCUAAUGCUUUACUGACUUAACCAUGGCGCAGCGGGCAGUGUGGCUCAUAAGCCAUGAACCGGGAACUCCACUUUGUGGCACCGUGAGAUUCUCCAGGCCAUUGUUUCUUCUUGCUCUGUAGUACUCAUGGUUCACAUCCUACACAUUUACCUAUCCCCUUUACCUACUGAUGACCUCUCCCAAAUUUGCCUCCAAAGAACACUGCCAAAGUAUGCAUCCUCACAUCUGUCCAUGGGGCAUGUCUAUGCCGAUUUUGACUAAAGACUGCCAAAUAAUCUGCUCCACAGAAUGCUUUCACCCACCCACGCACUCACUAGCAGCAAGAA